ACCCUUCGGGGUACUCGAGCGGCGAACGGGUGAGUAACACGUGAGUAACCUGCCCUGGACUUUGGGAUAACCCUCGGAAACGGGGGCUAAUACCGGAUAUGACUUCCCCUCGCAUGGGGGGUGGUGGAAAGUUUUUCGGUCUGGGAUGGGCUCGCGGCCUAUCAGCUUGUUGGUGGGGUGAUGGCCUACCAAGGCGACGACGGGUAGCCGGCCUGAGAGGGCGACCGGCCACACUGGGACUGAGACACGGCCCAG
rnacentral:rRNA from 1 species